rnacentral:misc_RNA from 1 species
GCAAACUUGGUCAUUUAGAGGAAGUAAAAGUCGUAACAAGGUUUCCGUAGGUGAACCUGCGGAAGGAUCAUUAGAAGAAAGAAAGAUCGAUCCCUCGACGAACGUAGGGGGGCGAUCGAAUCCAUAUCCACCCCGUGUGCACUCAUCGACCGUUUGCUUUGGCAGGGGGAAGGGGCCUUCGAUCCGGAGGCGCCGGGAGGAUACACACGUAGCCUCGGCCUGCCAGAGUUUUUUUUUCCCGAACUCGCACUUUUCUCUUUUUUUACUUGCUUGGACUGAACCUUCGUCUCGAUUCUCUUGCAAUCGGUCGAAUCGGAUACAACUUUCAACAACGGAUCUCUUGGCUCUCGCAUCGAUGAAGAACGCAGC